UGAGGAAUAUUGGUCAAUGGUCGCGAGACUGAACCAGCCAAGUAGCGUGCAGGACGACGGCCCUCUGGGUUGUAAACUGCUUUUAGUUGGGAAUAAAAGGCGGUACGUGUACCGCGUAUUGUAUGUACCAUCAGAAAAAGGACCGGCUAAUUCCGUGCCAGCAGCCGCGGUAAUACGGAAGGUCCGGGCGUUAUCCGGAUUUAUUGGGUUUAAAGGGAGCGCAGGCGGACCCUUAAGUCAGUUGUGAAAUACGGCGGCUCAACCGUCGGACUGCAGUUGAUACUGGGAGUCUUGAGUUCACACAGGGAUGCCGGAAUUCAUGGUGUAGCGGUGAAAUGCUCAGAUAUCAUGAAGAA
rnacentral:rRNA from 1 species